GGUAGUGUAGUUAACACCUGCAUUAUUUGACGUUACCUACAGAAGAAGCAACCGGCUAACUCCGUGCCAGCAGCCGCGGUAAUACGGAGGGUGCGAGCGUUAAUCGGAAUUACUGGGCGUAAAGCGCAUGCAGGCGGCCUGUUAAGUCAGAUGUGAAAGCCCGGGGCGUUAACCUCGGAAUUGCAUUUGAAACUGGCAGGCUAGAGUCUUGUAGAGGGGGGUAGGAAGUUUCAGGUGUAGCGGUGAAAUGCGUAGAGAUCUGAAGGAAUACCAGUGGCGAAGGCGGCCCCCUCGGACAAAGACUGACGCUCAGAUGCGAAAGCGUGGGGAGCAAACAGGAUUAGAUACCCUGGUAG
rnacentral:rRNA from 1 species